GAUGAACGCUGGCGGCGUGCCUAAUACAUGCAAGUCGAGCGAACGGACGAGAAGCUUGCUUCUCUGAUGUUAGCGGCGGACGGGUAAGUAACACGUGGAUAACCUACCUAUAAGACUGGGAUAACUUCGGGAAACCGGAGCUAAUACCGGAUAAUAUUUUGAACCGCAUGGUUCAAAAGUGAAAGACGGUCUUGCUGUCACUUAUAGAUGGAUCCGCGCUGCAUUAGCUAGUUGGUAAGGUAACGGCUUACCAAGGCAACGAUGCAUAGCCGACCUGAGAGGGUGAUCGGCCACACUGGAACUGAGACACGGUCCAGACUCCUACGGGAGGCAGCAGUAGGGAAUCUUCCGCAAUGGGCGAAAGCCUGACGGAGCAACGCCGCGUGAGUGAUGAAGGUCUUCGGAUCGUAAAACUCUGUUAUUAGGGAAGAACAUAUGUGUAAGUAACUGUGCACAUCUUGACGGUACCUAAUCAGAAAGCCACGGCUAACUACGAG
rnacentral:rRNA from 1 species